AUGGAACGCUGGCGGCAUGCCUUACACAUGCAAGUCGAACGGUAACAGGUCUUCGGACGCUGACGAGUGGCGAACGGGUGAGUAAUACAUCGGAACGUGCCCAGUCGUGGGGGAUAACUACUCGAAAGAGUAGCUAAUACCGCAUACGAUCUGAGGAUGAAAGCGGGGGACCUUCGGGCCUCGCGCGAUUGGAGCGGCCGAUGGCAGAUUAGGUAGUUGGUGGGAUAAAAGCUUACCAAGCCGACGAUCUGUAGCUGGUCUGAGAGGACGACCAGCCACACUGGGACUGAGACACGGCCCAGACUCCUACGGGAGGCAGCAGUGGGGAAUUUUGGACAAUGGGCGAAAGCCUGAUCCAGCAAUGCCGCGUGCAGGAUGAAGGCCUUCGGGUUGUAAACUGCUUUUGUACGGAACGAAAAAGCUUCUCCUAAUACGAGAGGCCCAUGACGGUACCGUAAGAAUAAGCACCGGCUAACUACGUGCCAGCCGCCGCCGUAACAC
rnacentral:rRNA from 1 species